GAUGAAGAACGUAGCAAAAUGCGAUAAGUAAUGUGAAUUGCAGAAUUCAGUGAAUCAUCGAAUCUUUGAACGCACAUUGCGCCCGCCAGUAUUCAGGCGGGCAUGCCUGUUCGAGCGUCAUUUCAACCCUCAAGCACAGCUUGGUGUUGGGACUCGCGUUAAUUCGCGUUCCCCAAAUUGAUUGGCGGUCACGUCGAGCUUCCAUAGCGUAGUAGUAAAACCCUCGUUACUGGUAAUCGUCGCGGCCACGCCGUUAAACCCCAACUUCUGAAUGUUGACCUCGGAUCAGGUAGGAAUACCCGCUGAACUUAAGCAUAUCAAUAAGCGGAGGA
rnacentral:misc_RNA from 1 species